UACGUAGGGGGCAAGCGUUGUCCGGAAUCAUUGGGCGUAAAGAGCGCGUAGGCGGCCCUGUAAGUCCGCUGUGAAAGUCAAGGGCUCAACCCUUGAAUGCCGGUGGAUACUGCAGGGCUAGAGUCCGGAAGAGGCGAGUGGAAUUCCUGGUGUAGCGGUGAAAUGCGCAGAUAUCAGGAGGAACACCGAUGGCGAAGGCAGCUCGCUGGGACGAUACUGACGCUGAGACGCGAAAGCGUGGGGAGCAAACAGG
rnacentral:rRNA from 1 species